CUCAGAGAAAAGGAAAUAAAACAGCCAUCCAUGUUCCUGCACAUAUAAAGCAAGCUGUUCGUGAUGCUUAUAGGCAUAGCACUACAGAAAACAAUUUAGUCUGGACAUGUAAAACAGCAGCUGGUUCUAUUUUGAAGUAUUCCUCAGGAGAAAACAAAGAGUU